rnacentral:tRNA from 1 species
GGGGAUAUAUUUAAUUAUAAUAAUUGACUUGCAUUCAAUAGGUAUCUUCUUGAUUAUUCUCG